CUUACUCUUUCAGUCUUGUUGGAGAAUCAGAUUUCAUCCUCCAAAAAAAGAAAGAUGUCUUGUUAUCGAGAACAGCGUAAGCAGCCUUGCCUGCCUCCUCCUUGUGUGAACACAUGUUCCCCGUGUGCGAACACCUGCUCUUCAGGAUGUGUGGAGCCCUGCAACCCAUGGGCGCACAAGUAUGUGGAGCCCUGCAACCCAUGCGGUCACAAGUAUGUGGGGUCCUGCCAACCAUAUUCUCCUCAUCAGUAUGUUACCGCUUACCAGCCCCGGUAUUCUCACUCCUGGGGAUCAGGCUACUCAUCAUGUGCUCCGGCUUGCUCACCAUAUGCUGCAGCCUGCACAGCUCCGUGUGCUCCUAAGUGUGUGAAAGCAUGCACUACCCCAUGCCUGGAUCCCUGUGUUUCUGAUUGUCAUUAGCUGAAAUGACGCAGAUGUCCACGAACGGCCGAGCGAAGAACGGAAGACGAAGGCUCGAGGCUGUGUAUCUUCUCUGCCAAAUCAAAAUUCUGCGGCUACAAGCAACUGUCCAUUCUGCAAAGUGUAUAAAUCGUGCAAAUUAAGGCCUGUUCAUUUGCAUAAUAGUCUCUGCUAUUCUUUCCUUGCUUUGAAAAAUGUCUUCCUCUUCCCCAUUCCUCCCCACAGUUCAAUUUGUCUAGCCAUUAGGAAAAUACUUACAACAUUUCAGAUGUGAAACUCAGGCCCCUUCCGCACAUGUAGAGUAAUGCACUUUCAAUCCACUUGCAAAGUUGUUUGCAAGUGGAUUUUGCUAUUUUGAACGGUAAAAUCCAGCUGCAAAGUGCAUUGCAAGUGGAUUGAACGCGCGUUAUUCUCCAUGUGCGGAAGGGGACUCCGGGAUGGAGGAAAAAGAGGGGAAACACACUAAAAAUGUGAUUUUUUUUCUUUUAAACUUCUCAAUUUUGUUUGAAAAAUGGUCUCCUCAUAACCUUCAAACAGGCUGCUAGGGCGCCAUCGGUUCAAAUGCAUUCGGCUUUUUCUGUUCUCUGGUUUUGUGAUUACCCUACGUAAGACAAGAGGCGCAAGUUGAUUGUAUGAUGUGUUGAGCUGACAAUCAGUUCCCUGGGGUUACAUUUGGGUGCUUCCCUUCCCUUUUCCUAAGUGCAAUGUAGGUGUGGUUCGGUAUCUCAUCAUUCACAUUACGAGGCAGCGUUUGGAGAACUUAUCUCGUCACAGCAAUUACAGCGUGGCAUCUGGAAGACAGCCUGUCUGUCAACAAUGGAGUGGGAACCAUAGAAUAGACUGUAGAGUGAUGGAAUAAUACCACUUCACAGGGAAAAGUCAAUGGCUGAGACGUCUAGCCAAUGUUGAAGUCGAUCACGUAAAAAAUCUGGAUUAACAAAUUCAAAACGAGGCAACGCAUGCGAUUGAAAAAAAAAUGAAAUUGUAUUCACACCUGGCGACACACAGCAACGCUCACAAUUCCAGCGUGUGUGGGUGUGCCAGCAAUAGACACUCCAUCACUGUCCUGGUCAUUCAGUUCUAAAAUACAUUAUGUGUAUAGAUCCUGAGAUCCACCGUAAUAUGCUAAUCGUAACUGUGCUGGAAUAGUUUCCACUUGUACCCACGUUUCAAACUUUCUCGCUCUACCGCUACUCAUUAAAACUUUCACUUCAUGUCA